ACUGGAACAGUGGGGGAAAGUCUAUGAUUAAACCUCUAUGGGACUCGUAUGCCACAGUCAGAUGAUUACCACUGCAUGGACAGAGCUCUGUGAGAAAAAAUUUUGAACCCUUGACUCAUAUUUCCCAUUUUCUCCUCAAGAAUUAUCUUUUCCUAUCCUGCUCUGGAUCUAGAGAUAUUCUUUUGCCUCUUCAAAUACAGAGCCUUUAAUUGUGUCCAUAACCAAAGAAGCCUUGGGUUUUUUGUUUACUGGUGUUAUUGUUUUCUUUAAUGUCUAAUUAAAAUGACUCGAGCUGGAUCCUUGAAAGUUGCUGGAAUUAGUGGCCUUCCUCAAAACUUCAUGAAGAAAACAACUAAAUGAUCAUUUUCUUGGUCUUUUUGCUGUAAACUUCUCCUCCGGGCUCUGAUCAUCUUCCAUGAGGCAGCAUCAGCUUACUCCAGUUUGCCAUAACCACAAAAGAGGAACAAAAGUAUGCCAACUUCUCCCAGACAAAGCAAUCAUAUGGAAAAACUGAAUUCAUAAAUCUGGAAGGAACAACAAUAUCUGCUAUCAACAUGUAAAUGGAAGUCAUACCCAGUUCCAGAGGAAGAAAAAAUAAGAGGUUGGCAGAAAAAGAAACAAGAAGUGCUAUUGUUCAGAUGACAUGAGUGCAUUUGCAGAACAUCCAAAAGGAUCUGCAAAUUAUAAUAAUUCAAAUGAUAACUUGGCAAGAUUACUCGAUACAGGUAAGU